rnacentral:rRNA from 1 species
CCCUUAGAUGUUCUGGGCCGCACGCGCGCUACACUGAUGCAUUCAACGAGUCUAAAACCUGCUCUGAUAGGGGUGGGAAAUCUUUUGAAUGUGCAUCGUGAUUGGGAUAGAUGAUUGCAAUUUUUCAUCUUCAACGAGGAAUGCCUAGUAAACGCAAGUCAUCAGCUUGCAUUGAUUACGUCCCUGCCCUUUGUACACACCGCCCGUCGCUCCUACCGAUUGAAUGAUCCGAUGAAUAUCAUGGAUUGAGGAUGCAAGUAGGUUAGCCUAUCUUCAUCUUCGAGAAGUGAAGUAAAUCUUAUCAUUUAGAGGAAGGAGAAGUCGUAACA